GCCGUAAACAAUUAAUUUACACCUCCAACGCCAGGGAAUUACGAGCAAUGCUUAAAACCCAAAGGAUUUGACGGUGUCCCACCCCACUAGAGGAGCCUGUUCUAUAAUCGAUGAUCCCCGCUUCACCCGACCGUUCCUCGCUCAUCAGUCUGUAUACCUCCGUCGAAAGCUUACCAUGUGAACGCCAACAGUAAGCUUAAUGAUCUCACCAUCAACACGUCAGGUCAAGGUGCAGCUUAAGGAAUGGGAAGUAAUGGGCUACAAUUUCUAAUUUAGAACAAACGAAAGACUAUGUGAAAUCCUAGUCAUGAAGGUGGAUUUAGUAGUAAAAAGGAAAUAGAGUGUCCUUUUUAACUCGGCUCUGGGACGCGUACACACCGCCCGUCACCCUCUUCAAUAGUACUUUUCCUGUUCCUAACCCACACGCACAUUUUAGAAGAGGCAAGUCGUAACAUGGUAAGUGUACUGGAAAGUGCACUUGGUAUACU
rnacentral:rRNA from 1 species